CCUCCAGCAUGCAGCAGAUACAGAGCAGGUUGUGUUGUGUGGAAAUCUCUGCUCCUGUCCUUUCAUUCAGAGAUGAAGGAGUCGGUUAACCCCUUAAGGAUGCAGGGAUGAAGGCCUUCAGUGAAUCUGUUCACACGAGCAACAUCAGAAAAGAGGAACUUAAAGUGGCCCGACACAAGUGUCUGAGGCGGGAAAGGCAUUCUGCCAUCUUGUUGUAUGUCUAGUCAGUAGAAUGAUGAAAAGCUCUAAAGAAUUUUUAAUGAAGUUUGAAGGGACCAUUUGCAACGUCUGGAAGCCUGAACUGGUGGGUGCACAACCAAGCCAGAGGUGGCCUCACACGAGCAACACCAGGAAAGAGGAACUUAAAGUGGCCCGACACUAGUGGCUGAGGCAGGAAACGUUGUUCUAUGUAAUUUGGCCCCUGGACUCCAAGUUGGUCCUGCAGGACCGGUGUGGGGAGCGCUGCACUUUUAUGAACUCCAAAAUGAAGCCCCUUCUGUUGGCAUACAACACAAAUGUACAUGGCGGAAGCAAAUUCGGGAUCAACUGUAGAAGUGGUGGAGACAUAUCGGGGUCUGCUGGUCUUGAACCUCAUUAAAAUGAUGGACUUCUUUGGAAAAGAAGAAGGUCUGGACCUAAGGAGGAUUUCAUAUGGCUGUAUUUCAGCGUUGACUUAUUCAGAGAUGGGCCUUAUUGAAGCUGUCCCUAUCCUGCAAUCGGAGACCAUCACGAAUCAGAAGAGCGAUGACUGCAGACGCCAUAUUUAACUGGUUAAAGGGGUACUCUGCCCUUUGACAUCUUAUCCCCUAUCCAAAGGUUAUGGGAUAAGAUGUCUGAUCGUGGGGGUCCCAACAAUCUCAGUACAGCACCUGGCGUUCGUUUAGAAUGCUGGUGUGAGCGGCGAAGGUCGUGACAUCACGGCCACGCUCCUCGUGAUGUCAUGCCACGCCUCCUCAAUGCAAGUCUAUGGGAGGGGGCGUGGCUGAUGCAACGCCCCCUCCAAUAGACUUGCAUUGAGGGGGCGUGAUGUGACAUCACGAGGGGCGUGGCUGUGACACCACGAUCCCUCAUUGCUCGAUCCAAGCGUUUGGAACAAAAUGUUCCAAACACUCGGGCAGCGGAGUACCCCUUUAAGGAACAAACACCCAUAGGAGUCUCUACAGCACGCCUUGGAGGAGUUCACCCUCUCCUGCGCAGCGUAUUGUGUGGGAACCUAUGUCCUUGUUAUUGGAGAACGACACAGUGACAACAUAAUGAUCCGAGAGACAGGGCAGCUUUUCCAUGUAGAUUAUGGACACAUUCUUGGAAAAUUUUUAAACCAAGUUUGGCUUCAAACAUGAACAUCCCCCGCCAUCCUGACCUCUAAUAUUCUGCAUGUCAUAUAACACGGAAGGGCGCACAAUGAUUUUAUGUUUGAGAGGUAUCGAUUUUUGUGUGAUAAGGCUUAUAGUUCACACGAGCAACAUCGGAAAAGAGGAGCUUAAAGUGGCCCUACACUAGCGGCUGAGGCAGGAAAGGCAUUCUGCCAUCUUGUCUUAUGUCAGAUUUAUCGCUAAAUGAGCCCUAGCGAACUAGCUUCGGCAACCUAGGAGUGUGCAGGAUGUACAGGCCCGGCUGCAGCAUCUGUGGGCAACUUCUCCAUGGUGCGGUAUUUUAUUUGACAUUUGUUCACCUACUUUAAGCAGAGAAGAAGACUUCAGUAGAAUUAUCAACAAGCAUCGGGUGUGUAUUUCUGGCUUUACACACUCGCGCACUAGACUUCAAAAACUUCCACCUUUUUGUAGGUGAAAACACAAAACCGCGUGUAUAUAUGCCAGUCUCUGCACUGAAUAUAUUAUCAAGAUAUAGAUGGAUUGUCCAGAUCUUAGACUUAGGCCAAUGUAUCUUUUCUGUCGUGACUGAUUCAUAUGCGUGAAUGGAGGGGGCAAACUGUGUGUAACAGCAAUGACUCCUGAUUGGGCAGCAAUUGGUGUCCUCCAACAUUUUGCUACUCCGCCCCCCUCACAAUACAGGUCACGCCCCGCCCUCUCAAUGCAAGCCUAUGGGAGGGGGCCUGACGGCCCCCUCCCAUAGACUUGCAUUGAGGGGGCGGGGGUGACGUCACAGUACUUCGGCCCCUGUUUCAUGAGUCAUCAGACACUGAGCGAUCUGUGCUACAGGAGAGAUUGCGGGGGUCCCCAGCUGCUGGACCCCCCCACGAUCAAACAUGUUAUCCCCUCUCUUUUGGAGCGGUGCACUAUUUCCCCUCAGAGGUCCCAUCCUCCCUGUUGUUUGCUCUUGUUUUGCACUUUGUUUCUUUCUGUUUUAGCAGUUUACAGUCGUUU